UACGUAGGGGGCAAGCGUUGUCCGGAAUUAUUGGGCGUAAAGAGCUCGUAGGCGGUUCGUCGCGUCGGCUGUGAAAACCCGGAGCUCAACUCCGGGCCUGCAGUCGAUACGGGCGGACUCGAGUUCGGCAGGGGAGACUGGAAUUCCUGGUGUAGCGGUGAAAUGCGCAGAUAUCAGGAGGAACACCGGUGGCGAAGGCGGUUCUCUGGGCCUGACCUGACGCUGAGGAGCGAAAGCGUGGGGAGCGAACAGG
rnacentral:rRNA from 1 species